CUUAAAUAGUUUAUAUAAAAUAUUGAUUUGUGGAGUCAAUGAAGUUACUUUAACUUUAAGUA
rnacentral:tRNA from 1 species